rnacentral:rRNA from 1 species
GACGAACGCUGGCGGCGUGCUUAACACAUGCAAGUCGAACGGAAAGGCCCUGCUUUUGUGCGGUGCUUGAGUGGCGAACGGGUGAGUAACACGUGAGUAACCUGCCCUUGACUUUGGGAUAACUUCAGGAAACUGGGGCUAAUACAGGAUAGGAGCUCCUGCUGCAUGGUGGGGGUUGGAAAGUUUCGGUGGUUGGGGCUGGACUCGGGGCUUCUCAGCGUGUUGGUGGGGUAGUGGCUUACCGAGGCUUUGACGGGUAGCCGGCCUGAGAGGGUGAGCGGCCACGCUGGGACUGCGAUGCGGCCCAGACGCCUGCGGGAGGCAGCAGUGGGGGAUAGUGCGCUAUGGGCGGGAGCCUGAUGCAGCAGCGCCGCGUGCGUGGUGAAGGCCUUCGGGUUGUGAACCACUUCCGCCUGUGACGAAGCGUGAGUGACGGUAAUGGGUAAAGAAGCACCGGCUAACUACGUG